GGAGUAAAGCUUGCCGUUAGAAGUCAGCCGAGGCCAUAAAGCCGGUAGUUGCAAAUACCGGAUGAAGGGC
rfam:Clostridium clostridioforme CAG:132 genomic scaffold, scf157